rnacentral:rRNA from 1 species
UAUCGGAUUGAUACUAAGCCAUGCGAGUCAUUGCAGUAAUGCAAGGCAGACGGCUCAGUAACGCGUAGUCAACCUACCCUAUGGACGGGAAUAACCUCGGGAAACUGAGUAUAAUGCCCGAUAGAACACUAUACCUGGAAUGGUUUGCGUUCCAAAUGAAUGUCGCCGUAGGAUGGGACUGCGGCCUAUCAGUUUGUUGGUGAGGUAAUGGCCCACCAAGACUAUUACAGGUACGGGCUCUGAGAGGAGUAGCCCGGAGAUGGGUACUGAGACACGGACCCAGGCCCUAUGGGGCGCAGCAGGCGAGAAAACUUUGCAAUGUGCGAAAGCACGACAAGGUUAAUCCGAGUGGUUUGUGCUAAACGAACCUUUUGACAGUCCUAGAAACACUGUUGAAUAAGGGGUGGGCAAGUUCUGGUGUCAGCCGCCGCGGUAAAACCAGCACCUCAAGUGGUCAGGAUGAUUAUUGGGCCUAAAGCAUCCGUAGCCGGCUCUGUAAGUUUUCGGUUAAAUCUGUACGCUCAACGUACAGGCUGCCGGGAAUACUGCAGAGCUAGGGAGUGGGAGAGGUAGACGGUACUCGGUAGGAAGGGGUAAAAUCCUUUGAUCUAUUGAUGACCACCUGUGGCGAAGGCGGUCUACCAGAACACGUCCGACGGUGAGGGAUGAAAGCUGGGGGAGCAAACCGGAUUAGAUACCCGGGUAGUCCCAGCUGUAAACUAUGCAAACUCAGUGAUGCAUUGGCUUGUGGCCAAUGCAGUGCUGCAGGGAAGCCGUUAAGUUUGCCGCCUGGGAAGUACGUACGCAAGUAUGAAACUUAAAGGAAUUGGCGGGGGAGCACCACAAGGGGUGAAGCCUGCGGUUCAAUUGGAUUC